rnacentral:rRNA from 1 species
UAAAAAGCUCGUAGUUGGAUCUGUGUCCCGGAUGGUCGGUGCGCCGCUCGCGGUGUCUUCACUGACUCUUCCGGACGUCCUGCCGGUGGACCGUUCGUCGGCCCCCUCGGGGGUUCGCGCGGGCGGCCCUGACUCCCUCCGCGCUGCUCUUAACCGAGCGGUUCGGUGGGCCGGCAAGUUUACUUUGAACAAAUUUGAGUGCUCAAAGCAGGCGGCAAGUCGCCUGAAAACUGUGUGCAUGGAAUAAUGGAAUAGGACUUCGGUUCUAUUUUGUUGGCUUUUCUGAACCCGAAGUAAUGAUUAAUAGGGACAGACGGGGGCAUUCGUAUUCAAGCGUUAGAGGUGAAAUUCUUGGAUCGCUUGAAGACGGACGGAUGCGAAAGCGUUUGCCAAGAAUGUUUUCGCUAAUCAAGAACGAAAGUUAGAGGUUCGAAGGCGAUCAGAUACCGCCCUAGUUCUAACCAUAAACGAUGCCAGCCAGCGAUGCGCCCGAGUUCCUCCGAUGACUGGGCGCGCAGCUUCCGGGAAACCAAAGCUUUUGGGUUCCGGGG